CAGGGCUGAAAACUGCCCUUGGGCUGACUUUUGAUAGGCCAUGCCUUGCCACUUUACAAGUUCUUUUUGCAUUUACUAGUAUUUAAGAGUAACCUUGAGAUUGGGAGGAAAGAAGAGGCUGGUACAAAUAGAUGGAGACCUGCUGGGAUCAGUGAAUGCCUGAUUAGGACAUGGGGCUAUGCAUAGCCUAAGAGUUAUAGGCUUAAAGAUGUCGAGUAACUAAAAACCGU
rnacentral:lncRNA from 1 species